rnacentral:rRNA from 1 species
UGAGAAAAUUAGAGUGUUCAAAGCAGGCAUUUGCUAGAAUAUAUUAGCAUGGAAUAAUCAUGUAUGAUUUUCAUGAUGUAUUUGAUUGGUUUGGUUCAUGAGAAUAAGAUUAAAAGGGACAGUUGGGGGUAUUCAUAUUCAAUAGUCAGAGGUGAAAUUCUCGGAUUUAUGGAAGAUGAACAAAUGCGAAAGCAUUUACCAAGGAUGUUUUCAUUAAUCAAGAACGAAAGUUAGGGGAUCGAGGAGGAUUAGAUACCCUCGUAGUCUUAA